UAGGGAAUCUUCGGCAAUGGACGAAAGUCUGACCGAGCAACGCCGCGUGAGUGAAGAAGGUUUUCGGAUCGUAAAACUCUGUUGGUAGAGAAGAACGUUGGUGAGAGUGGAAAGCUCAUCAAGUGACGGUAACUACCCAGAAAGGGACGGCUAACUACGUGCCAGCAGCCGCGGUAAUACGUAGGUCCCGAGCGUUGUCCGGAUUUAUUGGGCGUAAAGCGAGCGCAGGUGGUUUAUUAAGUCUGGUGUAAAAGGCAGUGGCUCNACCAU
rnacentral:rRNA from 1 species